rnacentral:ncRNA from 1 species
CCGGAGAUCCGGGCCCCUCUGAUAGUCUGCACGGCUAUGAUGUCGGACUCUCUUU